rnacentral:snoRNA from 1 species
AUGACCUUAGUUGAACAGGAUCUUUUCUAUAGGCUCGUACCACUGUAUCCUUGAGUUCUAAGGAGACUGGAAACCAAGUCCGGUGGAUGAACCGUGGCUAUGAGACUAGAGCGUGAUUAACAGCCUCCAUGGUCUUUGGGUCAUGGUGCCAUAGAUGAUCGUUCUCUGCCUGGUCCACUGGGCUUGAGAUGGUCUCGUGGCAAUCUGACAGACU